rnacentral:rRNA from 1 species
UACGUAGGAGGCAAGCGUUGUCCGGAAUUACUGGGCGUAAAGCGCGUGUAGGUGGUGGGACAAGUCUGCUGUGAAAGCGCCUGGCUUAACCGGGCGAGGUCGGCGGAAACUGUUCGACUCGAGGACGGUAGAGGGGGGUGGAAUUCCCGGUGUAGUGGUGAAAUGCGUAGAGAUCGGGAGGAACACCUGUGGCGAAGGCGGCCCCCUGGGCCGGCCCUGACACUGAGACGCGAAGGCGUGGGGAGCGAACGGG